GAAAGAGAGAAAGCCAAAGCUGUCCAUCUUGCAGACGGACAGAGGGGAGCCACGGCAUGGCUCACGCUGGUGCUCAGAGAGAGAAAGAGUUAAGCUGCUGACCCUGAAGGCAAGGGAGCCGGCUGUGCAGCUGCAGGUGUGGGGGCGGCAGGAGCUGCAGAGCCGAAGCAAACAGCCGAGAUAAAGGUGGACAGUGUGAGAGAGCUAAUAAGGAGUCUCUGUCGCCCAGGCUGGAGCGCAACGGUGUGAUCUCGGCUCACUGCAAUCUCCGAAUCUCCGCCUCCCAGGUUCAAGCGAUUCUCCUGCCUGAGUCUCCCAAGUAGCUGAGACUACAGACGCCCACCACCACGCCCAGCUAAUUUUUGUAUUUUUAGUAGAGACAGGAUUUCACCAUAUUGGCCAGGCUGGUCUUGAACUCCUGACCUUGUGAUCAGCCCGCCUCGGCCUCCCAAAGUGCUGGGAUUACAGGCGUGAGCCACUGCACCCGGCCUAUGUAUUCGUUUCUUUUAAAAAAAAACCUAUGGAUACUAGUUAUGUCUACAUGACACAAAAAUUUUUGUCAAUACAGAAAAGUCUAUGGUAAUAUAAUUUAAGUUAGCUUGAGACUAUUGUUAAGAUUAAAAAAUAAUACUAAAGCUGAGAAUUUAAAAAUUAAAAUGAA
rnacentral:lncRNA from 1 species